GGAAGUUCAUGCUGUUUGCAGCGGGGAGGAGCCUGGCCUCUCUUCUUUCUGUGUGGAACCUGGAAUUCAAGCUGUGGGUGAGAAGCUCUCUAGCAGGGACUCUGACCUUAUGGAGGAUCGCUGUUUCCCCCAUUUUUCCUUUUCACCCAAAAAAGUCCUGCUUCUCUCACCCUUCAAACAGCCUGUGAGCCUAAAUUUUUGUGGCCAUGGGACAGACAAGGACCCCGUCUUCAGCUGAACUAAGGAAAAGUCCUGCGACAUCUUUGGUACGCACUGUGGAGGCUCUACAAACAGCCAUCAAACUCCAACCAGUCACCCAACCAGAGCCUCUGAGGAUGGCCCCUUCUGCGGGGAACCCUUACAUGGGCCUCUGACUGAUGCUUCCCCAAAACAGUGCCCCCUGUCAUCAGGAAGCAGUUAACACUGGUCUUCAUUCUUACGCUUAUCCUUAUUCUAACAGCAGUUAUAUGUACUUCUUUAGACGGGGGAAUAAGACAGCCAGGUGGGAGGGGGUCUCUGGAAAACUCCAUCUGGCCUGUGCACUAGGGUGGAACCUCAGGAAGUUGAUGACAUUUGUAGCUGGGAGCAGCCUGGCCCCUCCUCUUCCUGUGUGGAACCUGAAAUUCCACCGGCUUGGCAGGAAGCGCUCUAGCAGGGACUCCGGCUUUGCAGAGCAUCCCUGUUUCCCCGUUUUUCCCUUUUCACCCAAUAAAACCCUGCUUCACUCACCCUUCAAACCAUCUGCAAGCCUAAAUUUUUGUGGCUGUGGGACGGACAAAGAUGCCUUUAGCUGACUGAGGAAAAGUCCUGCAACACAGGAGGUGCCUGGGAAAGACAGAAAAAGAUGAUUUGUUCAAAAACUCUUGCAAAAUUGCUAAUGGCAAUACAGUAACAAUAUGUGGUAGUAAUAGAAUCCUUACAUAUGAAAUGCUUCUAGCCGGUUGUACCUGGUCUACACAGGCUAAUGAAAUGUUAAUAGGAAAUAAUCCUUAACAAAAGGGUUACCUUUGUGCAAGUAAUGUCCUGAUGCAUGUAUUAGCCCCUUACAUGUUAAUUUUGAAAUAAAAAAUGUGUUAAUAGAAGAAGAAAG
rnacentral:lncRNA from 10 species